AUUGAACGCUGGCGGCAGGCCUAACACAUGCAAGUCAAGCGGAUGAAGGGAGCUUGCUCCUGGAUUCAGCGGCGGACGGGUGAGUAAUGCCUAGGAAUCUGCCUGGUAGUGGGGGAUAACGUCCGGAAACGGGCGCUAAUACCGCAUACGUCCUGAGGGAGAAAGUGGGGGAUCUUCGGACCUCACGCUAUCAGAUGAGCCUAGGUCGGAUUAGCUAGUUGGUGGGGUAAAGGCCUACCAAGGCGACGAUCCGUAACUGGUCUGAGAGGAUGAUCAGUCACACUGGAACUGAGACAAGGUCCAGACUCCUACGGGAGGCAGCAGUGGGGAAUAUUGGACAAUGGGCGAAAGCCUGAUCCAGCCAUGCCGCGUGUGUGAAGAAGGUCUUCGGAUUGUAAAGCACUUUAAGUUGGGAGGAAGGGCAGUAAGUUAAUACCUUGCUGUUUUGACGUUACCAACAGAAUAAGCACCGGCUAACUUCGUG
rnacentral:rRNA from 1 species